GAUGAACGCUGUCUACAGGCUUAACACAUGCAAGUCGAGGGGAAACGACGGGGAAGCUUGCUUCCCCGGGCGUCGACCGGCGCACGGGUGAGUAACGCGUAUCCAACCUGCCUCUGACUGAGGGAUAACCCGUCGAAAGUCGGCCUAAUACCUCAUGGCAUCGUCUGCGGGCAUCCAACGACGAUUAAAGAUUUCAUCGGUCAGGGAUGGGGAUGCGUCUGAUUAGCUUGUUGGCGGGGUAACGGCCCACCAAGGCUACGAUCAGUAGGGUUUCUGAGAGGAAGGUCCCCCACAUUGGAACUGAGACACGGACCAAACUCCUACGGGAGGCAGCAGUGAGGAAUAUUGGUCAAUGGGCGGGAGCCUGAACCAGCCAAGUAGCGUGCAGGAUGACGGCCCUAUGGGUUGUAAACUGCUUUUAUGCGGGGAUAAAGUGAGGGACGUGUCCUUCAUUGCAGGUACCGCAUGAAUAAGGACCGGCUAAUUCCGUG
rnacentral:rRNA from 1 species